UACGUAGGGGGCAAGCGUUGUCCGGAAUCAUUGGGCGUAAAGCGCGUGUAGGCGGCCCAGUAAGUCCGCUCUGAAAGCCCGGGGCUUAACCCCGGGAGGCGGGUGGAUACUGCUGGGCUCGAGUCCGGAAGAGGCGAGUGGAAUUCCCGGUGUAGCGGUGAAAUGCGUAGAUAUCGUAAGGAAGACCAGUGGCGAAGGCGGGUCUCUGGACAGUUCCUGACGCUGAGGCACGAAGGUCAGGGGAGCAAACGGG
rnacentral:rRNA from 1 species